UCACACCCGGGUUUUAGGGGCACCAAGACCCGGGCGCGAACAUAAUCACCAGGUGUGCUGGGACCAAGUCUCACACAUAUGAUGAAUCAUGGCACAUGAUCGAAUGUCACAUCUUUACUAUAUAAUAGGAGUUCUAUAUAAAAUAAAUAAAUAAUUACAUUAUAAGGAGACAACGGUCCAGCAACCCAAAGUUGACUGGGAGACGACGGCCUAGACCUCUCACGAACACAUCGCAGCAUCCUCCAUGCGCCUCAUCCUGUGGUACCUGUUCUUGACCUGUGGGGGUGUGAGACAACAAGAGUGAGCUCACAUAUGUUCAUUGCUCAACAAGUUGUGAGGAAUAAUGUGCAUGAACUCGCCAAAGGUGGGAGCUCACGUGAAGUGUAAGGCUUACCAAAGAGGAUGGUUAGAGCUGAGCAUUGCUUUUAAAGUUGGUCAAAAUUUUAUUAGCAGUUACUAAGUAUAAGUAAAUACCAACCCAAUUAAAUAGUAGAACAGAAGUAACAACAUCACCUGUGAUGCAAUGCAUAUGAAAAAUUGAAUUUAGUUCCAUAAGUUAAUCAUGUGAGGGUCCGAGCUGCUCAUGACCAUGAUCACGGCUAGUAUACCAGUUUUACACUCUGCAGAGAUUGCGCAUCUUUACCCACAAGUCAUGUUACCCAUUUGCCACGGGGUUGUACGGGCCCCAUACACUUAUACCAAGGAAGCGAGGCAGGGUAACACUACGAGGCCUUUACAAAGUUCCACUAGCUUCAGAAAACCCGCUACAGUUUAUAGGAAGCUCCAAUGCAGGGAUCCCUUGCCUGACCGCCAUCGCAGCAAAAUCAACCAAGGACCUCCCUACACUAACCACUCCCCUACUGCCCUUGCCCCUUUCGGGUAAGGUAGUCCUCCACUAGCUUUCCUAAUUAAUCAGACAAGGGCGUCCAUAAACCCUUGUGGUAGCACUGUUUUCCCGGAUGGUCGCUCCAUGUUCUAAUUAACAUAAUGAUCUUAUCAUGAACAGUAAAUAACAACGGAUAACAAAAGUAUAAUUAUGAAUAAUGUGUAUCUCAAUGCCCAAAUCCACAUAAAGCACUAGCAAGUACUACCCAAAAGUUUAGUGGUAAACAAGGCAUAAAGAUAGACAAACUACGAUAACCUAUUAGGUCCCAUCAAAAUUAACCUAUGCAGAUCAUUAUGAUUAAUUAGAACAUGAGUGGGUAAAAGAAGUGAUCAAGGGCACAACUUGCCUGGGACUUGAGAUUCCAUGUACCAACUUGCUCUUCAGAUGACUCGUGACCUCACGCUAGUCGUAGCAAUACAAACAAAUAUGGUAUAUGCAAAAUUAACAUUACACCAAACAUAAGAAUAAACUGCGUAUUAAUAAUCUACGCGUCGUAACGAGAUCGUAGGAACAAGAAUCACUAAACUCGGAGCUACGAUUGUUAAGUUAUGAAUUUCCGAAACUAUUAAGUACUUAGAAUAGAUUAAUUCAAAUGAACAAUUUUAAUUUGCGCUUCAUGGUUAGACAGUGUUACUAUGUGGUAGACAAUAUUAAAACAAAAUUAAUGUCUCUGAAAUUAAUUAAUUUGGAGCUACAAUGAAUUUAAUAUGAAUUAUAUAAUUUCUGGAUUUAUUUGUGUAUUGAAAAUCAAAUUCUAAAUUUAUUUUCCUGAUUUUCCCUGAGCUCUGAACUGGGCGCCAAUAACAGAAAAACACAGGGGCCAAAAUCACAAUUACCCUAAGACUCAGGCUUCCCACAUUGUGGACUAUGGGUUGAAUAUGCCAAAGAUUAGGGGCUCUUUAGCAAAAGAUCCCGGCCGAAGGGGUAUCAAGAAUCCAGGGUCGUUGGAUAUGACUCGCACGGCUCGGAUUAGAACCGUCCAGGGACGAAAUGGUAUGCAACCACAGAUGCCAGAUCACAAUUGGGCGGCCAAGAUUUGAUCCGAGAAACGACAGGUAAUGGAGUCAAUCUAGACCAUUGGCGCAUGAAUCUACGGCCUGGAUCUAAUUGAGUGAAGAGUACCUUGCAUCACAGCCCUUCGUUUCGAUCCAACGCUCCCCAGGUCAUCUUCCCCAACACGCCCAGCGCUACCGCGACAUCCUCUGCCCGCGCUUCUUCAUCGCGGCGGCGGAUGCCAGAGCUCCCUUUCAUUGACGGGCAUGAACGUGAACAAGAUCCGGAUGCCACGACUCGCCCAGCCAAAGCGCCCGCGCCACCCAGAGAUUAAGCAGUGCAGGGGGUACCAGCUUGUUCGCACUAGCUGUCGUGCAGUGGAGUUUUGGAGACGCAGAGCAACUUCCUCCCCCGGCGAGCGAUGAACCGAGUCCAACCCUCCAUACAUCAUGCACUCAUUGAAGGUCCACACAGGGGCGCUCUUUAUCUCUCUCCACCAUGGCGCCCCUUCCUGGUUCCCCUUGUGUUCUCGCUGGGCCGCAGGUUCCAAGUCGACCCCGAAGCAAUGGGGAAACCGGGGGAUGGUUUUUAUAUUUCUAAAGCCGAGCUUCACGGUGGGAUGACGAUGAAUCGAGCCCGGAAAUCUCGGUUCCUGGCAUCAGUUAGCGCCAGAUGCGGAGGGGGUUUGUGAGGAUAGGGAUGACCCUGACAAGCUGGGCCCACACGCAAGACACCCAGGCGAGAGGUGCUGAGGACAGCAUCCCAGUACGCGCGCCAGCGCGGUGAGGCUGCUCACAGGGCCCCGCAAGUCGGUGACAGUGUAUGUGUGUGCGGGAUGUGAAUUGGGCUAGCAGGGUGCUCAUGGGCCACAUGGAUGUGAGCCAGGUUGGGCUGAGAGGGAGGGAAUUCAGCCCAGAAUCCAGUUUGUCCAUUUUCCCUUUUUUUCUUUUCUAAUUCCUAAUUCAAAUUUAGUUUGCAAUUCACACUCAAGGUUUGAGUUGAACUUUUAAAUGCACAGUGAAUACUCCAGCAUGAGAUUCAAGUUAUAUUUGUAGGGAAUAUUUUAUUCAGUUAUUUAGAAAUAUAUAUUUCAAAUGUGAAGUAAACAUAUUGUUGAGAAAUACCAUUUUGGAUGUAAGUUUAAAGGUUCUCCCAUAAUUCAACAUUUGUUUUUUUAUUAUUUAUUAAAAUUAAAGGGAUAUGUUUUAUGAAGGAUGAAAAACAUUUAUAGAAGUUAUUUUAUCUCAAAUUAUUUGGACAUUGUUUUAUAACUUCACAAAAUAAGAUUUUGGGUAUUGCAGGGGGGUGAAUUAGGACUUCUAAAAACUCUCUCUAAACUAGUCCAUAAUUUAAUCUCUAGAUCAAAACCUAUGCAAAUAAAUAAUUUAGAAUAUGCAAACUAGGUUUAGUCUAUGUGUUGUAAUCUCUAUCGCAAAGCCUAAGUUUCAAUCCUAAAAAUCUAACUAGAAAGGAGAGAUUGAAACUUAAGUACUUAAUGUAAAUGUGGAAGGUAAAGAGCAAGGGUAGAGUUGCAAAUUCUUGUGGAUGACGCUGGUAUUUUUAUCGAGGUAUCCGGAACCACGCAAGGUCCCGACUAAUCCUCGUUGGUGCCUCUACCCAAAGGGUAGCCCACGCGAGGGACAAGCACCAUGGUCGAGUAACUCCAUAUAGGGCAGCGGGCCUUCUCCACGCAUAAGAGGUGCUCUACUUCUGGCUCCUCUCGGACGCUCCUCGCCGUCUCCACUAUCGAGGUUUCGACCAAAACGCCACGGGCCUCGUUCCCUCCGGUACACGGUGGUGGUCAUGAUAGAAACUCAUUUGUCAUGGUCUCGCAAGACUCUUGCCCCACUCGGUACAAUUACAACGGCUCGCGCAAGAGCCGAUCGGUUGUGUGGUUUUUCUAAACUCACUCAACUAACGAGGAUUCACCUAGAGCAAGCACAUAAGCGGUCUAACUAACCUAAGCACUUCGCAAAGUAUCUACACUAAUCACCGAGUGAUUUUAUUAAGCACUUGGGUGUUUGAGCACUUGGAAAUGCCUACAACAUGUGUUGGUAUGUUGCUUGGGCUCCGACACCUUCAAAUGGCCGGUUGGAGGGUUAUAAAUAGACUCCCCUCAAUUAUAGCCGUUGGACAAAAAAAACUAGGACUGUGGAGAGGUAGAUUCCUAAGUCUGGGUGGCAGACUGACCCUUAUGAACAGCUAUUUAACGAAUGUUCCUUUGUAUAAGCUUUCAAUCUACUCUGCUCCUAAAUCUGUCAUUAGGAGAAUUAAUAUCCACAGGAAAAAUCUCCUGUGGCAGAGUGGUCGUGAUUGUAAAAAAAAUUCAUUUAGCAAAUUGGGAGAUGGUUUGUACCCCAAAAAUGCAGGGUGGCUUAGGUGUUCUGGAUCUUAAUUGCAUGAAUGAUGCUUUGCUGGCUAAGUGGCUUUGGAACAUUGAGAACUCGAAUGGUCUAUGGCAGGAAAUUAUUAGAGCUAAAUAUAUUAAUGUGUCACACCCGGAUUUUAGGGGUCCAAAACCUGGGUGCGAACAUAAUCACCAGGUGUGCUGGGACCAAGUCUCACACAUAUGAUGAUUCAUGGCACAGGAUCGAAUGUCACAUCUUUACUAUAUAAUCAGAGUUUUGUACAAAAUAAAUAAAUAAUUACAUUAUAUGGUGACAAAGGUCCAGCAACCCAAAGUUGACUGGGAGACGACAACCUAGAUCUCUCACGAACUCAUCGCAGCAUCCUCCUUGCGCCUCAUCCUGUGGUACCUGUUCUUGACCUGUGGGGGGGUGUGAGACAGGAAGAGUGAGCUCACAUACGUUCAUCGCUCAACAAGUUGUGGGGAAUAAUGUGCAUGAACUCGCCAAAGGUGGGAGCUCAUGUGAAUUGUAAGGCUUACCAAAGAGGAUGGUUAGAGCUGAGCAUUGCUUUUAAAGUUGGUCAAAAUUUUAUUAGCAGUUACUAAGUAUAAGUAAAUACCAACCCAAUUAAGUAGUAGAACAAAAGUAACAUAAUCACCUGCGAUGCAAUGCAUAUGACAAAUUGAAUUUAGUUCCAUAAAUUAAUCAUCAGAGAGUCCUGAGCUGCUCAUGACCGUGAGCUCGGCUAGUAUACCAGUUUUACACUCUGCAGAGGUGGUACCCUUUACCCACAAGUCAUGUUACCCAUCUGCCAAGGGAUCGCGACUUCCCAUACACCUCUACCGAGGAGGCGAGGCAGGGUAACACUACGAGGCCUUUACAAAUUUCCACUAGCUUCAGAAAACCCGCUACAGUUUAUAGGAAGCUCCAAUGCAGGGUUCUUGCCUGACCGCCAUCGCAGAAAAAUCAAGCAAGGACCUCCCUACACUGACCACUCCCCUACUGCCCUUGCCCCUUUCGGGUAAGGUAGUCCUCCACUAGCUUUCCUAAUUAAUCAGCCAAGGGCGUCCAUAAACCCUUGUGGUGGCACGUGUUUCUCAAGUUAAGCUCUAUGUUCCAAUUAACAUUAAUGAUCUUGACAUGAACAGUAAAUAACAACGGAUAACAAAAGUAUAAUCAUGAAUAAUGUGUAUCUCAAUGCCCAAAACCACAUAUAGCACUAGCAAGUACUACCCAAAAAAGUUCAGUGGUAAACAAGGCAUAAAGAUAGACAAACUAGGUAACCUAUUAGGUCCCAUCAAAAUUAACCUAUGCAGAUCAUUAUGAUUAAUUAGAACAUGAGUGGGUAAAAGAAGUGAUCAAGAGCACAACUUGCCUGGGACUUGAGAUUCCAGGUACCAGGAUGAUCUUCAGAUCCUCGUGACCUCACGCUAGUCGUAGCAAUACAAACGAACAAUGUAUAUACAAAAUUAACAUCACACCAAACAUAAGAAUAAACUGAAUAAUAAUGAUCUACACGUUAAAAUAAAAUUCUAGGAACCGGAAUCAUAAUUUUUAGAUUUUAAGUUAUGGAUUUUCAAAGGUUUUAUGUGUUUAAAAUGGGAUUAAGUGUGGGAUUAAUUUUCUUACUGUUGUCAUGAUAAAACAGAGACACUAAGUGCUAGAGAAUAAAAUCACAAAAUUUUAGAAAGUGGAAUGGACUAAUUUGGACUAAAAAUGGAUUUUCUAUGAAUUUAUCAAGUUCUAGUAAUUAUUUUCAUAUUAAAAAUCCAUUUAUAAAUUAUUUUCUCUGGUUUUAUAAGGUUCUGGACUGGGCCUCAAUUUCAGUUAAGCACAGGGGGCUCGGGGUAAGUCGUCCUAGACACAGAGAACAGUGGAAGUAGGACGGCGGGUUCAUUAUAAAAUACCCUAGGGUUUCUUUAGCAAAAUGUACCCGCGAAGGGGUAUGAUGUGAUCUGGGCCGUUGAAUCCUGUCCCGACCGCCGAGAUUAGACGCUGACAUUAUAACCUGUUAUGUGAUACUGACCAUUGGAUCUAGCAUCCACGGAUGAGAAGCGAUCCCACCCCGAUCAAUCCUCCUCCGUCCGAUACUACGCCAACGUUCCAAAUCCCCCCCCAGCGAACAGGUACGCUGAGACCAGAUCCAGACCGCACAAUCCUAAUUCGAUGCCUCGGGUUCAUCCUACGAGGUGGUAACUCAUGAUCUAAUCCGAGCCGGAUAACACAGAUCCAACGAUUGGCACUCAUCCUCUUCCUCGGGUCUCUCCACGGCGAAGUAAGCUCCCAAGACGGCGGCGCUCACGGAACCUUGCCCCAGCCCCCCCCGAAUUCGUCUUCCUCCGAAGCCGACCGAGCAACUACAUCUCAUGGUCUACGCGCAACAAUGGAAACACGAUAUGGUACGAGGGAAAGAAAGAGCUGUCACCACUGUUGGAGCGAGCUGGCCAAUGACGUCGCACGGAUCCGCGAUGAGGCGCAGGCUUGAUCUUACUUUGGCUAUGGGGGGAGAGUUCUUGCUUGCUUCCCACAGAACGACCACGAACGGCGGAUUCCUGGAGAUCAGUGGGUUUUAUAGAGAUGAGCCCCAGGAUAUGGCGGUGGAGUUCGGUCUACCCCGGAGUUCAUGGCGCGAUUUGCUGCCGGUCUCAACCACCCGAGCAACCUUGCCAGGGCCCUGAACGUCGCGGUGCCGGCCUUCGGGGAGGUCGAUUCCCACCACCUGCGAGGAUCCGCAGCGGCGGCCGGCUUCUAGUUCCUCUCACUGGUCCUCUCUCUCUCCGCGCUCUGAUGUCCUCUGCGCUCCAUGGAUGAUGGGGCAAGGUAGGGCCGACGGAAGUGUUUUUAUACCCCAAGAACGGAUAGAGUCCGAGCGCGGAUCAAGGAAUCGGAUCUGCAGCCCCACGGUGAAUUCGUUGAUGUAGUUACGGAGCUCGUGUGGGAGAUAACGCGCAAUCUGUUGGAGCUUGCGGCCGGGGAAGAUGACAAGUAGGGCCCACCAGCCAUACUCAGCGAAUUCCCACGGAGCGAACGAGCAAUGGCCUGCCAGCAGGGCCAGUCUGUCAGCGCAAGGAGCAUCAGCGCGCGGUGGGACUUGGUGGGCCGCGUGGAUGGGAAGCUGACUGGGCCAAUAAGUGUGGCGGCCGGCCCAAUUUGGUUUGGUUCCUUUUAUUCUUUUCUUUUUAUCCUCUAUUCUCUUUUCUAUAUUUCCAAGUUCAAUUUGAAUUCGAAUUUGAACUCAAACUUGUGCCUAUUUUAUUCUCAAUUCAUGUUGUGGAAUUUAGAAUACCAACUUUGGAGAUAUAAUUAUAUCAUAUAUUUUUUAUAUAUCAUUUCUUCUCUUCUCUUUUCAUUUUUAAAAUCCCCAUUUUCAAGCUAGGGUUUACUCCAACCUUAGAAUUAUUAUCUUAUUAUUAUUAUUCUUAUUUUUAUUUUAAUGCACAAACAUAUAAAACUCCAACACGAUGCUCUUUCUUUUAUCUUAGUGUCUUUGGUUUGAUUUAAUCACUCUUCCGUCUAUAUAUGCUCUUUUCAAGAUGCAAAUAAGGCACAUAAAAUAAGGAAAUCACCAUGUAUUUCUUGUACACAAUUUUGAGUAUUACAAAUGAUGUUCCUCUUAUUUCAGUCAAUGUGAGACAAAAUGAUUCUCAUCUCUGGAAGGCAAUUCUAAGCCUGAGAGAUGAUUUUUAUAAAUGGUACAAAAAGAUUUUGGGUAAUGGCAGAUCUACUAGUUUUUGGAGAAACAUUUGGUGCGGAGAUGUCUCUCUUGCAGACAAAUUCCCGAGGUUAUAUGACCUAGCUCGUGAUAAGAACGCUACAGUGGAAAAAGUUUUGCACUCUGGCUUCCAAUCUCUUUCCUUCAGAAGGAGAAUUAUCGGUGAUCUUUCUAGAAGUUUUGAUGAUUUAGUGGCCUGCUGUAGUACCUUUCAAAUUAACACCCAGAAAGACAUUGUGUUGGUCCUUAGAUAAAAAAGGAUACUCAGUGAAAUCCUUCUAUUUGGAAAAAAAUGUGCUCAGGUUCACGUGCCGUAUUAUUUUUUAUGGAAACCGAGAUUGCCACAAAAAAUCAAAGUGUUCCUUUGGUUGGUGCUGAGAAAUAAGAUAAUAAGAUUCUCACGAAAGAUAACCUCUGCAAAAGAAACUGGCAUGGGCCUGUCGAGUGUGUUUUCUGUGGCAUUACUGAAUCUAUUGAUCACCUGUUCUUUCGAUGCCCUGUUGCCAGAUAUGUUUGGAGGUUGAUCCAAAUCUUUUUGGGCAUUUCCUGCAUCCCUAACAACAUUGAUGAGCUCUUUGGUGUAUGGCUGCGAAAUUUCAAAAGGAUGCAAAGCUUAUCCUCUUUGGUUGUGGGGCUGUUUUAUGGUCUAUUUGGAGAGCUUGAAAUGACUGGUGCUUUGUUAAUAAGACUUUUUAUGAUCCUUCUAAUGUGAUUUUCAUGUGCUGCUUUUGGCUGGAUUCUUGGGCGUCAGACAAAGAAGGAAAAAAGGAAGGUAGAGUAAGGAAGCAGACUCAUUAGAAAGAUGGCAAGUGAAGUGAUGCGUCGUGCCUUCGGCUGGUGUCCGAUAGACCGAUGGAUCGUUGGAAGUUAAUCUUCAUGUCCCUUUGAGCUCUUGGUGCUUGUCUGUUUGUGUGCUCUUUCUGCGUUUGUCUGGACCUCUUGUCUUGCCUCCUCAGGAGCGCGUUUCUUGUAAUAAGUGGAUCUGCGACUGUGCCGUGUGUGUCUGUUUAUGCUUUAGGCUGUUUCCUUCUCUAUCGAGCGCACUCGAUUUUGUUUAGGUCGCCUAGCGUAUCUCCUUUUGUUGCGCCAUUGGUUAAUGUACUCUGUUCACUCAAUCCAAUGGUCGUCCUUGUAAGGUGACUUUUGUUCCUAUUUCUUAAUGAAAUAGGGGGUUAUACCCCAUUGUCAAAAAACUCUCUCAUUUCUUUGCUUUCCUUCUCUUUUUCCUAAAAAAUGGAGAAUUAUUUUGUUUUAUAUUGACAUAAACCUAGUAGAAUGAGCCCUAGACGCGCUUUGGUUGUUGCAUUCAUGCCGUUGCAUGGUGUUUCUAAGUGCAAAAAGUGUUUGAAACAUGUUAGUAUAUCCUAUAGAGGUUCUCGGUAGAUUUUCAUAUUUUUCGGAAUAUUUUCUAUUUUCUAGAAACCAAAAUCUAUUGAUUUGAGGUACUUAAAAAUGUUUUUAGAAACUCUAAGUAUGUUUUUUGAGUUCAUUAGGAGCCAAAACAUUUCUAGGAAAUUUUCUGGAAUUUUUGGAAGCAUCUAUAAUAUUUUGAGCAUAAAAAAUAUGGAUUUCUAAGCUUUUCCGAAUUUUAUAAAAUAGUAAAAUCCAAAUUUGAACCGAAUUUCCAUCUCGUCCGAACCCCAAAUAUAUAUAUAUAUAUACUGUAUUUAUAUAUUACACCUGAGUGCAUUCAAUAUAGAGAAUGCACCCAGGCCGAACCUACGCGCCAGGUCCGAGCCAACCGCCCCACCUAGGCCGUCUUCGUCCCUCCCGCACGCUCCCGACAGAACCUUUUCACUUCCCCGCCCCCACCCCUUUUUCUCCGUGAACGGCUCCUCCGCGAACGGCUCAACCUCUUCACAUAAGUUGCAAUCACACCAGACCAGCUGUUGCAAUUACACCAGACAACAGUUGCAAUCAUUGUUUUGUUUAACAGACUUUUGGACAUAGUUAUAUAGAAGUUGCAAUCACACCAGACCAGCAGUUGCAAUCAUUGUUUUGUUUAACAGAUUUUUGGACAUAAUUAUAUAGAAGUUGCAAUCACACCAGACCAGCAGUUGCAAUUACACCAGACAACAGUUGCAAUCAUUGUUUGUUUAACAGAUUUUUGGACAUAGUUAUAUAGAAGUUGCAAUCACACCAGACCAGCAGUUGCAAUUACACCAGACAGCAGUUGCAAUCAUUGUUUGUUUAAUAGAUUUUUGGACAUAGUUAUAUAGAAGUUGCAAUCACACCAGACCAGCAGUUGCAAUUACACCAGACAGCAGUUGCAAUCAUUGUUUGUUUAACAGAUUUUUGGACAUAGUUAUAUAGAAGUUGCAAUCACACUAGACCAGCACUUGCAAUUACACCAGACCAGCAGUUGCAAUCAUUGUUUGUUUAACAGAUUUUUGGACAUAAUUAUAUAGAAGUUGCAAUCACACCAGACCAACAGUUGCAAUUACACCAGACCAGCAGUUGCAAUCAUAUUUUUUAACAAAAUUUCCCAGAGUUAUUCAGUACUUGCAAUCACAUCAGAGCAACUCAGCAGUUGCAUCCACACUACACCAGCAGUUGCAAUUACAGCACACCAUCGGUUGCAAUCAUUUUGUUUACAUUUUUUUAACAGAUAUUUAGGUAGAAUUAUACAACAGUUGCAAUCACACCUAAUGCGGGUUUGCAAUCACACCUAAUGCGGGGGACAGGGAGGCACGUUGACAGAGAGGCGCACGACGGCGCGGGGAUAGGGAGGCGUGCGGCGGCGCGGGGACAGGGAGGCGCUCGGCGGCGGUGGGGGAGAGGGUGGCGCGGGGACAGGGAGGUGCGUGGCAGCGGCGGGGGGCAGGGAGGCACGCGUACAGGAGGACCGAGGGCGUGCUCGAGGUGUUAUUGCAUCUGGGUGUAUUCAAUAUAGAGAAUGCACCCAGGUGCAUUUUAGUGCCGCCGUAUAUAUAUAUAUAUAUAUAUAUAUAUAUAUAUAUAUAUAUAUAUAUAUAUAUAUAUAUAUAUAUAUAUAUAUAUAUAUAUAUAUAUAUAUAUAUAUAUAUAUAUAUAUAUAUAUAUAUAUAUAUAUAUAUAUAUAUAUGCCUAACUUCUCUUCGAGCCUGUUCCAGAGCAUGAAAUGGUUUCUCUAGAUUUAAUCCCUAGCUCACGGAAUUGCUCACCGAAGUUCAGAGCGAUUCCAACUCUGGCGACAACUCCAGCGAGCAAUUACUCCCAAUCCGUGUAUCAUCUGUGGAAUCCGAGGGUACCGCUGUGCUCGUUUCAUCGAUCGGACCUCCGAAUCUCCGCCAAUCGAAGGAUUUCCCCCUCGGCUCCAGCGAGAGUCUUCUUCCCCGAUGAGCUCCUCCAUUCCUCAUCUCUUUUCUUCGAUUUCUUGGGUUUGAGAGUGUAGCACCUCAUUCCCCUGCCCGGCGGCGCGGUGCCCUACCCCCGGCCCAUGCGCGCGCGGCCCCUGCGGGCGUGGCCCCGUCGCCGGCGUGCAGCCGAACGAACGGUUGGCCGGCCGCGGCGGCCGAGCUCCUGCUCCUCCCCUCGCGCGAACCCACUAGGCGCGGCCACCCGCCCGCGGGCGCGCGGCCCCAGCUUCACCCUAGUCGUGGAGGUUCCUGCAUGAGGAAGAGGAACAUGAGGAAAAUGAUGGCAAUUUCGUAAUAUAGUCCUGUUUCACACACACGAAUUUCAGUCUAGUUUAAAGCAGUGAUAACUUUUGCGUUUUAAACCCGAUUCAAUGCGUUCAAGUUGCGUUAGAUUCGUAUUAAAAUUAUCUACAUGUUAGAAGUAUUUUUUUCCUACUAUUGUAUUUAAACGUUUGUUUGACCGGAGGUUAAUAGAACGACGUUUUAUUUAAAUCUAAUUUAUAAUUUCAAAUUACGUGUUUAUAAAUCAAUAUUAGCUCUGUUAAUGUUAACUGAACUAUUCUAAUUAAAUAAUUGGUUAGUUUAAUUAUGUCAUUUAUUUAUUAGUUUCGCGUAUCGUGUCGGCCCACGUGCCGUGCGCAUAUCGUCCGCGUGCCGCGGUGCUGUUUCGCGUGUGUCGUCGCGUGUCAUUUGCGAGUUUCGCGUGUGUCGUUCGCACGCGUUGUCGCGUGCCUUGCCGCGCGUCGUUCAUGCGUAUCACGCGUUGUCCACGCGCGAGGUUAAACCGUUCGCUUAUAAUCACUCAUGUUAGUUAAUAGUUAUUUAUUUAAUCAGCCACAAUUAAAAUAGUAAGUUAGUCAAAGCUAAGUAGUAGGUUUGAUUUACAGUUAAUAAAUGUCAAUUAAUAUAACCAUGGCGAACUAAAUGUUCUAACCAAUACUUGUUUAGCUUGAACGAGAUAACUUUUCGACCGUAGCUCCGACUAUCGCGUUUCUUUUUCCUCGCGUGACCGUAGUAAUGCGCUCUAUUUCGUUUUGCGUGUUUUAUUAUGUUUUUUGAAUGGUGUAAUGUUCUUAUAUAUAUAUAUACACUGUAUUUAUAUAUUACACCUGGGUGCAUUCAAUAUAGAGAAUGCACCCAGGCCGAACCUACGUGCCAGGAGCACCUGGUUCGAGCCAACCGCCCCACCCAGGCCGAACCGACGCGCAGGCCCUGAUAACUUCAGUCUACACCAAGACCAGCAGUUGCGAUCAUUGUUUUGUUUAACAGAUUUUUGGACAUAGUUAUAUAGAAGUUGCAAUCACACCAGACCAGCAGUUGCAAUUACACGAGACAACAGUUGCAAUCAUUGUUUGUUUAAUAGAUUUUUGGACAUAGUUAUAUAGAAGUUGCAAUCACACCAGACCAGCAGUUGCAAUUACACCAGACAGCAGUUGCAAUCAUUGUUUGUUUAACAGAUUUUUGGACAUAGUUAUAUAGAAGUUGCAAUCACACCAGACCAGCAGUUGCAAUUACACCAGACCAGCAGUUUCAAUCAUAUUUUUUAUCAAAAUUUCCCAGAGUUAUUCAGUACUUGCAAUCACAUCAGAGCAACUCAGCAGUUGCAUCCACACCACACCAGCAGUUGCAAUUACAACACACCAACAGUUGCAAUCAUUUUGUUUACAUUUUUUAACAGAUAUUUAGGUAGAAUUAUACAGUAGUUGCAAUCACACCUAAUGUGGGGUUGCAAUCACACCACACCAGCAGUUGGAAUCAUUUUUUUAACAGGUUUUUUUAGAAUCAGACCAAAAUAUGCAGGGGGUGGGAAAAUACCUGUGAGUAGUGUGACUCCCCAGCAUCCAUGUGGUCUGUGUGCUGAAUUGAGUCAAGCACCCUUUUUGCAAAUAUAUGUAGGCUUGUCACAUUGUUAACAUAACCAUCUUUCAAAACCCUGUUUUUAGCUCUCAGAUCUCUGGGUGGAAGUCAUUCGCCCACAAUACAUGCCUUUGAAUAAUGUUGCUAUCCAUCUCUUCCUUUUCUGCCACAAUGCAACAAUUGCAGGGUGUUCUCUUAUGCCACAUUCAUCCACCAGCUUAUUCAUUAGGGACUGCAGCUUCUCCACCUCAAACUGUGUGGGCCCCAGAGGAUAGUUUAUUAGGGACUGCAGCUUCUCCUUUAGAUUUUUAUCAGGGACUGCGGGGGACAGGGAGGCGCGCGGCGGCGGCGGGGGGCAGGGAGGCGCGCGUACAGGAGGGCCGAGGGCGUGCUCUUAUGGGGAGGCGUGCUCGGGGUGUUAGGUGCUCUGGUUGGACAGGGAGUCUUGGGGUCUGUGCAUCCACAAACUAAAAUAUACAUGGGUGAUAUAUAUAUAUAUAUAUAUGUGUGUGUGUGUGUGUGUGUGUGUGUGUGUGUGUGUGUGUGUUUGUUUGUAUUCGCUGUGCAUCGCGAAUAGAGAAGGUGUUGGCGACUAAGUGAUCAAGCUCUUCGAGUUCUACGAGAUUGAAGACUCUGAGCAUCUGUUUGGUGAAGGCAAGUGUCCUCAGACCUAUUUAUGUCCUAUUCACCUGAUAAUUCAUUUCCCCGCAUUACUUAAUUGAAACCUAGGGAUUGACUAGCUUUGUAUUUACCUUGUCUCUACGCAGUGGUCGCAUCUGUUAUGGCUCCUAUAUUCUCGCUCAGGGAUCUAGGUAUGGGCAUCGUCCCACGCCUUUUUCCUAAGGGCAGAGGUAUAAGUUUUGGGACGUCAUAUGGACUUUAUGUAGUGCUCAUUUCCAACUAAAAGCAACUGCUUUGAGCUUAACUCCACAUAAAGCUAGUCCACCUCAGCCAAAUGGGACAUUUGUUGAGUACGUUGAUGUGUACUCACCCUUGCUUUCACAAAACACCAGGUUGCCUUUAUUGCAUCCUAUUCUCAGGUAAAGAAGAAGAAGGCGUUGAGGCGGAUCUCCAGGAGUUCUAGGACUUUGACGAGUUCGAGGAUUAGGCUAGCGACCUCCCCCAGUCAGCUGCCUGUGGUGGGUUUGUUUACGUUGGCUACGUUCCUAUUAUGUGCACUUUGAUUUAUAUUAUGUAGAUGACUCUAAUCUGUAAUUUUAUUACUUAUUCUUUAUUGUUAUUCGAAGCAUUAUGCUAUGAUGAGUCAUUUAUGUAAUCGUUGUGUACGUGAAUUUCUGAUCCUGACACGUACAUAGUUCGCAUUCGGUUUACUUCAAAACCGGGUGUGAUAUAAGUGGUAUCAGAGCCUUGUUGACUAUAGAACCGCUAUCCUAGAGUAGCAUUGGCCAGUUUAAGGACUUAUUGACUAUUACUUCACUUCAUCCUUGUUGCCGCUUCAAAAUAUUAGUCACCUCGACUAAUUCUAUGUUGUUCUCCUAUAUAUAUAUCACCUCGCCAAAAGUAUUUUAUUCUAGUAUGGUCUAUACUUUUCUCAAUCUAUUAGGUCUGAUCUCACUCUUGUGCUUGCGAGAUCUUUGUAGAUGCCCAUGACCAUAGCCUUUUUGUCUUUUGGGAUUCUUUCCUCUUCCACCAUUAAAUUGCUACCAUUUGACCAUCUCUAUUCCCUUGGCAUUGACAUGCUCGUACCCAUAGAUUCUUCAAUACUCUUGUUUCAAAUACUUACAUUAGAAUUUCUACUGCCUACUUAAAAACUUCAGUUUAUAUGUCCAUGAACUUCUUGUCUUCUGAGAUUGUCACAGAACCUCCCAAGGUAUUAGGCCCACCUACAGAUGUCCUUGUCCUAAGGACCUCGGACAACCAUGUAGAUGCACAUAAUCACUCGACAAGUUCGGUCUUCUGUAUCGUCAUCAUAUCGUCCAAGAGCGCUUCACCCAUCACGCAUACAUUACACAUGUAAUCGGAGGAAGGAAUAAGCGGAAGCAGAUUACAAUAACAUAAUUUACAUUAAUAAAAUAUAGAGAUAGUAUUUAUUACAGUACCGGGUGUUAUGAGUGCAUAACUUAUUAUUACAAAACAGAGAGGUAAAACAUCCUCCCACACAAAAGCUUAGUGUUUUAAACUGGGAGGCAACACACCGUCCCCAAACAGUUUACUGAUUGGCCUCCUCCUUUGGUACCACCUUUGAGCAGAAACAACAAAACUUCGCUGUUUCAUCACCUACAACAACAUGGGUUCGAAAACCCUGAGUACGGAGUGUACUUUCGCAAGUCUUACCCGACAAAGGAAAAGACUCUCAAGGAUAUGCUGGCUUGUAGGAUUCAAGGUAAAGUUGUUCAAGAAUCAAAGACCCUGUUUGCAGAAAUGCUUACUAAUAGUGGAUCCUUAAAAAUCCAGUUUUAUUAGCAGGUUAAGUCAUUACCUGCAUCUAGAGUUCUUUCUAUUAUAUUUCAAGCACUUGGCCUAUGCUAGCCGUCUUUUAUCAACCCUUCACUUUACUAGAUUGCUACGUGUAGGGCAGUGACCAAGUCUUGAUGUCCGAGAAGUAACGGCGAUCCGAAUCGAUUAAUACCCAGCUGAAGAUCUCCAACCACACGACAUAUGUAGCACUUAACCCUUGCAUAUGUCAACUCGCCACCGGGUUUCUCAAGACCAGACCGGGUUCACGCCAACCGAGAGCACAGAUACACCACCGUCCAGCCUCUUGCCCCGGAGGGUACACACUACUCUCGCCAUCUCUCCACUCCCAUUGCGUGUUGGCCUUUCUGGUAUUGGUCCGACUGAGGCAAAGCUUACCCAUGACGAGGCAUGUGGCCAGUUAAAGGGUCCUCAAUCAGCAAGCCUACAUCGACACAGUCCUUAAUCGACUUAGACAGAGACACCACACCGAGGCUUCCUUCUCGUGCAAGUCACCCUCCCGAUCUCAUCUUUAUCAUUUAAAACCCAAAGUUUGGUUCCUGUCAGAGGUACAUCUUUUCCGAUGUUGAACCCAUCAUGGCCAUGAUGGAUUCACCAUCAAGUCUUCUCUUUGAAAACUUCCCAUCCCAUAUGAAGCAUCAUCAUUGUUUAAAACAAAACAUUUUGUUUUCUAAGGCAAGGCUAAGCAUUAGAAAUCUUUUAAGUAAAACAUGUAUCAAGGAAUGGUAAACAGUUCCAAGGAAGGAAAUGCAGCAAUUGUUUAUCACUCAACUCCUAUCACCUAAUGCAUCAUUUCAAGUGAUAAAGUGCUUGAAAUAACAAAGAAGGGGUAAAUGCACGGGGGCUUGCCUUUUUUUGUAGGAGGCUCAGGAUCUGUUCCACAAAUAUCAAAGUAGAAGUUGUUCUCGACAGGUGGAAUUUCAGCUUGUGGGGCAGUUUCUUCUUCGACUACCACUUCUUCUUCGUUUCCUAUACAUAACAAUACAUAUACAUGAAUGCUCAUGUGAUGUUAUGAAUAUGCAGUUACAAUAGAAACACACUAAGUUGUAUCUUGAAUACAACUUUCCUUCAUGGUGCCCACUAGUCACUAGAGUUUCCUAGUUUAGUGCUUUAUUAGGGCUAGGUAUUUAAAUCCUAGAAAACUAGUUUCUUGGGUUUGGGAUCAGACAAUGUCAAUAGCAUGUCAAACUUUACCCAAGGGCUUUAAUCCUCAAGUUAAGCUUGUCCAAAUAGUUUUAUGAUUUUUGGAGCUACCAAAAUAAUUCUAAAAUUCUAAAAGGCUAGGUUUAGGCAUCUUUAAAUGCUAAAUAAAUCUAGGUUUGGACUAAAAAUCUUGGAACUAUUUUUAUUAAAUACUAUAGGUUUUUAGGAGUCUAGCAAAAUUGGUCCCAUAAUUUUGCCAUUUUUGUAGAAUUCCCUAUAAAUUUCCAAACCUGGUAGUAAAAAGAAAAGGAAAAAGAAGGAAUAGAUUGAGCUGAAACCAGCCCAAACCGGCCCACCAAUGUGGGAAACCCGCGCCCGCACGCGCCUACGCGGUGGUUUUGCGCAGAGGCCCCCGACCUUUCGAAUAACUAGUAAAGAAGUUGCGGCACUAUUCCCUUGUCUCUCUAACAAUCACACUUAAACCCCUCAGUUUCUCUUUCUUCGCAAGAUCAAGUCCUCGGCGGUGAACAGUGGUGUGCGCGCUCCGACGAGCUUGCACCGUCCGCAACACCAAACCAUUCAUGCCCUAAGUCGGUCUACACCUAAUUCCACCCCUAGCGAUCGUAAUCCAUCCCUCAAUUGAACUAGGCCAGCCGGGAGUUCUUCUGCCCACGACGGCGAUGAGACCCGAGGGAAACCCGAGGUGUUCCCGAUGACUAGGCGCGGUAUAGCUUUAUUGGCGGGGUCAAUGAGCAUAAUAAACACACGAGAGUGCCGAAACACAAACCAGAAGGGUGAGAGCGGACCUAGAGAUGGCUGACCACGACGGGGUGACUCACGGCGGCACGGAGAGUGGAUAUGGGGGAAAUUCCAAAUUAGGACGCUAUGGUGUACGAUCGGAGGCGAGGGCUGGUGCUCUGGCUUCUUAACAACCUAGCAGAGUUAACGGUGCAAUCAAUUUAUAGCCUUCGGGAGCGGUGCCUCCAAAUUUGAGGAAGGAAGCUGGCGGCCGAAGAGAGGGGGUGAGUCACCGGCGAGCGCUAUCGUGGCAUUCACAGUGCAAGGACUUAUGGCUGUCACUAGCUAUCCCUCAAGGCUUGCGAUGAUGUGGUGAAACGACCGAGAGCGUGGCGUAACCGAGAGAAACGGCGGCACGACAACGAUGGUCGCGUGGCCAUGUCGCGGCGCAAGUGGGUACAGCGAACUGAGCGGUAACAGGGUCCGAGCUCAUCCCAACACCAAGAUCUUUUACCUCGAGUCAUUAUUCAUGCAUCACUGGGCACGAAUCACAGCGCCAGCGUGGAUCGCAGCUCGGGUUCACCGGCGGCGGGGUUCAGUGAAUCUGCGAUCUUCUCUAGGUUACUGUAUAGUGGGAAUUUCAUUCAGUGCACCUGACAGAGCAAUUUAAAGGGCUUGGUUCUCAAAUUUUUAUGUAGUAACUCACUAAUCCAUCUGUGGCAAAGUUGAUCUUCUACAAACCAGCUUGAAUUUUGUUAUAGCAACCAGAAUCAAAUACUCACUAGAUCCUACUCGAAAUUGCUCCCAAAGUCUAUCCCAGUUCACUGUCAGUCCAGAUUCAGUUUUAGGGCUGACUGACAGCCAGACUUUAAGUCCAUUUAUCCCCAAUUUUUGUACAGCACCAAUGCUUAGUCACUUAAUCAAAGUUAUGCUCCUAUCAUAGCUCUACAAGUUUGAUGCAUUGACCUAGGAAAAAAUCUUCAUGAAUUAAGAAAUACAAGGCUCCAAACUGAGCUUAAUCUCACUGAAUUUUCAGAGUUUAACACAUGGGCGUUCUUGGGACUUUUGCAAUUAAGUCCAAAUUGCUCCAUACUACUUGAAAAUUCUCCAAUGUAAAAGUUGCUUGGUUUUUGAUGUUCUACCACUUUUAUAUAUACACUUUGGUCCAAAAGUGUAUAGAAUUUGAAAUCACCCCUAGGGUACAAGUUAGGGUUUUCUAGGGUUCCUUUUAGGGUUUUGAGCACUCUAUGUUUUUUGUGCCACUCAAAUUCAUCAAUCUUGAUCUCUUAUGAAUAUUUCCAAUGACUUUUGAGGUAUUAAUCAUUUUGGCUUCCCAUUACACACAUGCCCUAAUCCCAGGGUUAGGUACCCUACCCUAGGGUUAAGAAUACUUCAAACCACCACAUCACACUUGUUUUGAAGUUUUACCUAGUGGAUGCAUUCUAGGUGUAACAAACAAAAUGAAAUGUCAAUGCAUAUGAUGUCAUGCUCAUGUUUUAGUGCUAGUAACACCAGGGGUGUUACAGCCUAAGUCCUCUAAAAUUAUCACAAGACCAUCAUCAGGAUAACAUCAUCGUAUCAUAAAUGUUUACAUCAUGUUCAUUGAUUAAUUUAAAGCAAUAGCAUAAGCUAACGAUGAUAACCCAAAAAGGUAAACAAGGAUAAGGUAAAUACAGACUAGUCAAUCCUUAGGUUUUCAUAAAGUAAUGCAGGACAGCGAAUUAUAGAGUAAGUAGGACAUAAUAGGUCAGAGGACACUUGCCUUCACUAGGUUGUUGCUCAGAAAGAUCUUCGACAACACAAUAAGGAACCACGGGCUGCUCGUAGUCUAAAUAAAGUGAUCAUACAUUCGAUACAUUUGGUAAAUGACAACUGAACAUCACACCAAUCAUGUACAGACAAUGGAACACAUCUCAAAAGAAAAAGUAUAAACUCAAAAGGGAGUUUAAAUUAUAGGGUGAACUAAUCCCAUCUAGUAGUUGAUUAUUCUUUAAGUGUUGUCCAUGAUUACAUAAUAUGAUUCUAUUCGUUUUAAUGAGACAUAAAAGUUAAACCAGAGAUAAAUUCAUAUAAUACACAUUAUUAAUCUCACAAGAUUAAAUAUCCAUUAACCACUAGGGUUUGUUUUUAUUUAUCUUAUUAAACAAAAUAAAUUACCACAUAAAUUAACCUAUAGCUUAGGCAUAAAAUUAGAAUGUUCAGACAAUGAAUGAUCCUAAUUGUCGGAGAGUAGAUCUCCAGCCGGGUGGAGGAUUGCACCCACCCUAAAUCCUGAGAUGAGGAGGGGCUUAGGCGUUUUGCUUGAUCCUUGGAAUGAACGGGAAGAACGCAAGAACACACAAGGGUUUAGAGUGGUUCGGGCCGCCGAGGCGUAACACCCUACUCCACUAUGGGAUGUAUUGCUUGUGAGCUUGCAAGUCUGAGGUGUGGUCUAAGAUUGCGUGUGUGUGUGUGUAACGGCGCAUGCCUCCCCUUUUAUAGCUGAAGGGGGGCAUGCACAAGGGGACUGGGCCCCGACAUGUGGGCCCAGGGACAUAAAGAAUAUGGUACUUGGAGCCUACUAAUGUUUGUUGCCGAGACAAUCUUCUUGUGCCCUGGCGCCCGAGAUCUGCGUAUCCUUGGCGUGCCGGGGAAGCUUCUUGUGGAAGAGAAGAUGGGUGCAGUGCCCCGCUCGAAACCGGCGCACUGUCCGCCAACAGACUGGUCAGGCGCGCCGUCUGCCCGACGACCCUGACGACGUCUGCCAACGGAUUGGACAAGGCGCAUUUAAUGUCGAGAGGGGUUGUCGCCUGUCAGCGUUGUGGCAGAACCGCCCGAAUUAUUCCAGCUUAAGUGCAUAAGUCACGCCUCAGGGGUCGUAACACACUUAAAUCGGAAUAACCCGUCAGUCCCUCAGAUCUAGUCUGAUAGAGCCACUUAACCAGGAUCAAAUUCCACAAUCUCACUCGAAGGCGAGUCACAGAAGAAAUACAAUAAAACAGGAAACCUCAAAUUAAGUACUGAGUUAUUACAUAAAUCGGAGUUUUUGAGUAACAAAUAAGAGUUCACAAAAUAAAGUGCAGCGGAUAAUCGAUGUCGUCGGUAAUGAGGAAAUGGGCAAGGCCUAGCCCACUACUCCUCAUGCUCCUCUCCUGCCGGAGCAACAUCCCACUCGACCGUCCAACCCGGUGGCAGGGUGGUAGGCCAAGUCACACCAUCAACCAUUUCCUGAAUGGUACCUGCAAAAAUUAUGCCACAAGCAAGGCUGAGUAUACUAAUACUCAGCUAGACUUAACCGGUGUGAGGAGUCUACUCCUCUACCUCUAGACCAUGCAGCUGUUUGGCUGAGGGGUUUGGUUUGCCAAAAGCACUAGCUGUUUUUAAAAUCAAUUUUUAGCUUUUCAAAUUCUAUCAUCAUUAACUUAGCUAGAUUUGCUCCUUCUAAGCAUACAUGGUGACAAGCAUUUAGUCCAAUCAACAAAUUAUCUCAUGUAACCUCAUUUCACUUCUUACUCGAUGCAGUACAAGGGGUCAAGUAGUCUCAUUAGCUGCGAGAAGCAGACGAUUCGAAUCGAGUUUUAACCUUGCAAGGGAAACCUAAACACACGGCAUGUCAGGGUACUCCGACCCCACACAUGACAACCGUCCCCAUCGAUUCCCCGUUCGCGUCCAGGCCUCACCGCCUUGGCAUACAAUGCUCCACUGACCCCGGCUGCCGCCGUGCAGUGACCGCAUUUGUACCCACCAUAGCUAGCAUGGGAGACCCAGUCUCAGGUCGCAUGAGGGAUAAAGUCCGCGCCCGGCUUCAAUCAGGUACUAGGUUUACCGGUUACCAUUUUUCCCGGCUUGACUCAGGUAUCCACACAUUAAUCCUUAAUUCCUUUUCCCGUCUCAUGGACAAGGCAUCCUCCCUGGAUCCAAGUCCAUAGACUAACAUAUAUCCCGUUAUCAAGAUGAAUACAAUCAAUUCCUGACCUCGCGCGAGUGCUAGAAAAAUCACUCGACUUCUACCGAGAUCCUGAUUAGCAAGCAGCUACUCGACCUAGCAUACUAGUAUUCAUCUCAAAAAGGAAUCCUAAGUUCAUGCAACUAGAGGUUUCAAGCAACUCCUACACUUAAGUGCACAUUACAAUCCUACAAGCAUUAAGUGUAGUAAAAUAGCAUAAUUAACAGGUUAUGCAUAAAACUGGGGCUUGCCUUCAAUUGCUGGGGCUGUGGGGAGAUCCUCAAUAGCAGCCUCUGAAGCCUGCUCCUGGUCCUCCUCUUGGACAGGUCCUUGCUCGGGGAUGAGCACGUAUUCUCCGUCGGCAAGAUUACAAUCUAAUGAAUGCAAUGCGUAAGAUAUAUGCAUGAUAUGAUAUGUGUUUUUAGAAAUUGCAACUUUUGACGAUGUAUGAUCUACUUGAGUUAAACAAGGUUAACUUUACUUAUGUAAGACCCUUGGGUGGUAUACUUGGUAAAUUGGGUCAAACUUUAUCUAAGGUAAUUGGUAGGUUUAUUUUUGGGGUUCCACUGAAUUCUUUUUAAAUCUUCGGGAGAGUUGAUAAGUAUUCAAGAUAGGCUUAUUGGGGUGAGGUUUAUUUCUUCUUUCCUUUUCUUUUAUUCUCUUAAAGGUUUUGGAGUAGGUUUGAACUACAAGUUGCUUUUAUAAAAUUCUAAAACUUCUGCAAAAAUUACAGUGGCUUGGUACUGGUGUAUGUUUCUCUGUCUCAAAAUUUGGGGAUCAGAAAGUGAGUAGUUUUCUCUGGACAAAAUUAUCAAAUUUUUGGGCAGAAGGGGUGCUUGAACUACAACUAUUAUUUAACAGUGGGUAAUUCUCUAAAACUUAUUUUUGCUGGCUUUUAGGUGUUAUAACAUGACUUGAUACAAAUUUCUAGCCAUUAAUACCUUUUAUUUAUUUUUUCAUAGUUUUCUCAAGUUUCUAGCCAAAUAGGUGCUUUCUACUACCACUACAUUUGAAAAAUAUCAAACAACAAAGUUCUUAUUUUUCUUAGUUAUUGCUUUGCGCAAGAGCAAUCAUUCUGAAGUUUGGCAUCUUUUUGCUUAAGGGAAGGGGUGGUAUGCAUUAUUUGAAUUAAGUGGCCUUUCUCAUAAAACACUAGCAAUAGGUAUAAGGUUGCUUCUUUUUCAUGGGUUUGCAUUUUUCUCUAGUGGUUUAUCUCAUUACGGACUUAACUAAUUUUUGGUUGCCCAUUAUCACAUUAUUAGGGGUUGUUCAUGAUUUAUUUGGAAAAUGCCUUAUUAGCAUUUUAUAUUUAUUUUCCUUACUUAAAAGGUUGGGCUGAGGUGUUCUUUAUUUUUGUAGUGGGGCUCUGGUGGUUGUAAGUCCACUGGAUUUUUAAUAUUCAUUUUGGGUAUAGUUUUGUAAUUCCAAUAAUUGAUUUUCAGUUCAAAUAAGGCUAAAUAAAGCAUUCUAAUUUAAAACUGAUCUGAACUAAUGGUCUCUUUAAUUUUCCUAGGUUCUCUGCUACUUAAGCAAACUAGGAAAAAUAAUUCUAAUCACUGUUCAUUAAUUUCUAAUGCCUUUCUGAUUUUUCCUAAGUUUUGGGCAAAAUAGCUUUAAAUGAAUAUCUACAUCAUAUUUUCCAAUGCUGGGGUUCCUACUAUUUUCAAACAGUGUCUAAAUGAGGUUUGAAUACCUACAAAUUUUCUUAGGUUCAGUACAGAAGAAAAACUAAUUUUCCUUAAUUAAACAAGGUUUUGUGGGUUUCUGUUUUUAAUUUUUAACUCAAAAAUUCAGAACAGAAAGCAUAGGGUUCAUCAUUUUUAAAUGAUAGUUCAUAAUAUUCAAGAGCUAGCAAAAUUAGUUUGACAACUUUUUAUUAAAAAUUCAUCAAGUUAUGGGUUUUCUAAGUUCUCUGGUCGUUUUAAAAGAUUAACAGAAUUGAUUAAAUGGAAAAACCACUUUGCACUGGGGUCCCUGGCGGAUAUUUUAAGUUUUCUUCGGGGAUCAGUCCUUAGGCUACUAUUCACAUGGGUCACUGACGUUACAGAAAACCCCUCGGGUUAUACAAAUCCUAACUCGAGGUCCUUCUCCUAACUCAAACAGUAACCGCGGCGGAAGAAAGGGCGAAGGGGCUUACCGGCGGCGAGAUUGCUCCGGUGAAGUGGUCGAGGACGUAGGGGAGGUCUCGGGGAUCACAACGGUGUGCGGGUCGCCGUCGGGGAUGGCCGGAGUUGGCCGGUCCACGUGCGCAGGCGGGGGUGCUCGUCGGCGACGGGGAGUCCGACCUGCUCACGGCGAGAUAGUUCAAUUGGACGGGUCAGAGAGGUUCACGGGAUGCCAGAGAAGAUAUGGGUGCAAGGAAUUGGGCGGAGACUCACCGGUUAGCUCUGUCCACGCGCGGCGGCGGAAGACUGAAGUCCGGUGAGGUCGAUCUCGGGCCUCCGGUGAAGUCCGGCCUAGUCCGAGGGCUUGGGAAGCUUCACGGGCCACUGGCGGAGCUAGCCGAAGCACUGGCUCGACUUGGGGGUGGCUAGAGUGGGCUAGCCACGGUGGCCGAAGCUCUGGCGGCAAUGGCGGGCGAAAUUGAGCUCGCUGGAGCUAAGGAGAGGGGGCUGGCCGGUGAAGGUGAGCGCGGGGUGAAGUGGGGCGCGCCUGGGGAGGCUUUAUAGGCACGGCGCGGUGCACGGGCGGUCGUGGACCGGCGAGCGCGCGCGGGCGUGCACUGGGAGGCGCGGUGCGCGAACGGGCGUGAACCGGAGGUGUCAGCCACGGUCGAACACGUGUGCCCGUUGCCUCUGCCCAUGUUCAAGCGCUGGUUGGGUGCAAAUCUUCGCGAAUUUGGGCAAGAUCGCUGUGAAGAAUUUGUUCACCUGACCUUGCUUUGUCUUUUGUGUAUGGACGUCGCGCGGUUUUAGGCUAAGGACAGGGAGUUGUAGCGUCACCAAGGUGUCAGUGUCAGAAUGUCUGGUCCCGAGGUCAAACUGCGCCAAAACCGUGUCAAAUGAAUUUGGUUUGAGUUCAAACUUUUCCAGGACGUGUUCAAGGGAAUUUGGCACAACUUUGAUAUUUGGAUCUUCUAGAUCUUUGGAAAGAGGUCUGAAUUUCAGAAAUUCAGAAAUCUGAAUUUCUCCAAGGGUUCAAGGUUUAAGGGCUGAUUUGGGAAUUUUAAAAAGACCAAAAGGCCAAACUCUCUCUUACCAUGUUUUGUUAGUUAUUUGGUGAACUAAAGUUUUGUAAUUUGAUCAUAUCUUAAAUUUUUGCAAUUUCCCUCAUGACUUCUCCUAAUUCCCUUUUAUGCUUAACUUGGCUUACUUAGGGUUUAUUAGGGUUGCAACAUUAUUACCUUUUGGGAGGUCCCAUUUGCUUUGAUCAUGAUACUUUUAAGUAUAUGCUUGGUGAAUUCUUUAUUCUUAAGUUAAUUUGAUGCUCAUGCUUACUUUGGUUCACAUAAAAUGAUGGUUCUUGGUUUGGCAUUUUAAGAGAAAACCCUAGGUGACACUGGGGUGUCACAAGCGUGGUGGCAGGCAGCGUGUCCCUUCCAUAAUAAAUGCUGAGGUCGAACGGUUGCAUGGGCCUUACGUCAGGUUCGGCCCACCGGCUUAUGUCACGGGCUUCAGGCCAAGCGGCAGCAGCGGGGCUCCGCCUGGGCAAGAAGCCCCUACUCGAGAGGUGGACACGUGUGGGCACCAGACCCUUAUUCGAGCCGGGGUCUUCCAGGUCUCGGAGCCCGGCCAGGGCCCGGUCCCUGCUCUGAGGGACCUGGGGCUUACCCGAGGGACCCGGCAUGCCCUCCUGGGAGUUCCGGACCCGCUAGUACAGGGGUUCGGCGUCCUUCCACGGAGGUCCAGACCUAUCGAUGCACCUUGGGGAGCCUUAUCUCUCCUUGCCACGUGGCGCCCUCGGGCCUGCCCAAGCGGUGGGGUCAGGCGUCGUUCCCCGCGUGGCAAGGAGACGUCGCAUGGGUGCGGCGUCGUCAUGCUGUAGAAGAGGGUACCCCUGAUUUAGGGUACCGACAGUGGCCCCCGGGCCCGCCUCAAGGCAGGAUGCGAGCCUGCAGGUGGGACCAGAGUCUGUUUGGCGGUUUAGACUACAGCUCCUGCACGCCUUGUUGCUGCAAUUACUACCGGCCCGCCAAUGGCCAUGCCAACUACCGCGCUUAUUCCCGCGGCUUGACUGGCCCAUGACCAUCGUACUUAAUAGCACUGUUGGGCCAUGCGCGGGGCUGCCUCGAGUCGCUGCACUGGUUCUGAAAAAUUUGCCUUUUCAGACUCCCGUGAAGGUCCCGAGAAGACGUGGCAUUGGCGCAAGUGGCAGUGCGAUUUUUUCGCACACGGUAACCGGCGCGCCGGUUGCAUGACAUGUGGGCCUGGGCCCCCGUGUUGGACCGCCAGUUGCAGCGGAGCUGAGAGGGCGCACAGCCGUGGGACGGUUGUACGCUUCUUGCGCGGCGGUUUGCCUUUUUGACCGCUAGAUACGACGAAGAUGAAGGAGCGCUUAACCGUGGGGCUGUUGCAUGCCCCUUGCACGACAGUUCGCCUUCCUGACCGCUGGUUGCCCCAAAACUGAAGGGGCGCAUAACCGCAGGGCAGUUGCACACUCCUUCUUAGGGUUAGUCUAUAUGACAUGUGGGGCCUGGCCCCCAUGUCAUAAGGUGCACGCCGGGGGAGACUUCACCUGUGACGCUUCAGGGGCGCGAGUGGGGGGAUCUGCCUUUAAAAAGGGGUCGAUCUCCCGGGCAGUAGACAUGCCUCGCUCUUCUUGCGACCAUCGCGCCUUUACGCCUUCCGGGCCUCCAGAUGGGGUGCGCCGGUGUUCUUUGGAAGGAUCCGCGUCAAGGCCGUCUUUUCUAGCGACUUCACCGCCGGGGAGCGCGCGCUCGUGGUGGUGCCGUCGGUCUUGUUUUCUUCUUGCUGCUGUUGGAGGGGUGCAACCCCAUGGGAGUUGGCACCCUUUCACCAUCAUUCGGCUUCAAGGAUUUUCAUCAUGCAGCCCGGCUGCAGUCCCCCGUUGGUGGUCAUCCAGAAGGAUGACUACCAGCCUUGUGGUGGGGAGAAGCAAGCCGGGCUGCGGCCUCCCUCCUGCCCUCAGCUUCAAGGAUGUUCAUCAUCCGUGCUGGGGAGGAGGGUGUGCCGAGUUGGGGCCCCACCUCCGCGUGGGUAGCGGCCCGCUUUUUCCCUCAGUGAUCGGGGGAGAAGGGCGUUCACUAUUCAUGCGGAGGAGCCAAACUUCGGAUACACGGGGCUGGCUGACUGCGGGUGUCGCCAGCCGUCGCGUGCCCGAUGCCUUGGCAUGGAUGGCCUCGGUGCUGCCUCCGACACUGCCUUCUGCAGCUGGGGCACGGCUGCCCGUUCACCGAACGGGCGAUGGUAGCGCCGUGUGCGGGUUCGCCACACUCACGGCUUCUCUCGCGUCACCGGUGGUACUGGUGGGUCACACAUGGCGUCGUACGUUGCGGGAGCGGCGAUCGUGUUCUUGGAUGUCCUCACUCCCUCCCCUAGCAAAGACGGGAGUGAGGACCUAUAAGCGUGCUGGGGCAGCCGCUACCCAUCGGUGCAGGGGUGGUUGUCGUCACUGGUGAGGCCAUCGGUGCUGCCUGUCGCUGGGCCUCCAACUCUUUGGCUUUAAUGGCCUGUUGCCCCCCAAAGGAAGACGGGGGGCGAGGUCCUAUCAGCGGUGCACUUGCUGAGGUGGUCGCCGCAGCUGGCGAGUCGUCGGUGCAGAGGCGGCCGUCGCCGUCGGUGCUGAUGCGGUUGCCUCCACUGGCGAGCCGCUUGGGGCUUGUUAUCCCGCGGCCCAUACCGGUGUGGAGGUAGUUCAUUCCUGCAGAAAUGGAGCUAGGGUCCCACUUGUAAGGGAAUGUAAUGACAUUUGCUUGAGGGCAAAAUGUAAUAACAUAUGUACAUAGGGUUUUAGCCUGGGAAGCCAAGUUGUGUGUCCGAACCCCCUAGAUGGUGGCUUCAACUACUAAGACAUCCGCCACAGGGCGAUGGAGUAUGCAGGCUCACGGUACGGGAUCAGGCUGAGCGGCUACAUGGUUUCCGGACCCCCCAGGAGACAAGUGCCCGUUCUUCAGAGCCGGACCUCCAGGUUGUUGGACUCACAGGACUUUAGUUUUAAACACUAGGACGCCCGUCACGGAGUGGGGAGUGUGCAGGAUUUUGGGUACGGAACCAGGCUAACCAGCCACACAGGCUCCGGACCACCCUAUGGAACGGGCAUCCGUUCUUUAGAACCGGCCCCCAGGCCUUCCCCUAUUUUUGUAAAGAAAUAAAUAUUAUCUUCUAAGCAGCAUUUAACACUUAUCUGUGCAACGCCUGUUCCUGUUGUGUGCGAUGUUGUUGACUCCUCCUUAGUACCUGGCCCCCCGCCUGGGAUGCAGGCUUGAUGUGUUGAGGUUGGAUGCCAACGUUUCUGAAAAGGUCGUCAACAAUCCUCGGGAGGCAGACUCGUCGGGAUCUGGAUCUAUACACAACUUUUAGAUAGGAAGCAUUAGUAGUACACCUCAUAGGGUUCUCCAUCUGACAUUAGUCGCCCUUUGAUACAUGCUCGGGACCUGCAGGUUUUAGUUCGGGUGGCCAAGUUGCGCGUCCGGACCCCCUUGGGUCGCAGUUCCAGAUACUAGGACACUUGUCGCAGGGCGGUGGAGCGUGCAGGCCCACGGUACGGGACCAGGCUGAGCGACUGCAUGGGCUCCGAACCACCCCAGGAGACUAAUGUCCAUUCUCUAGCUCUGGUCCCAAGGUUGUUCGACCCGUAGUACUUAUAACUCCAUAUACUAAGUCCCCGUCACGGGGUGGCGGAGCAUGCAGGCCCAUGAUACAGGACCUAGCUGAGCGGCUACACGGGCUCCGGACCACCCUAUGGAACGGGGUCCCAUUCUCCAGAGCCGGCCCCAGGCUGUCGGACCUCCCUACUUUCGUAUCAGGAGCCCUAAACUGCAAGCCUGGCUGUUCAAUUUGGAUGUCGCCAUGUCAGACAAAUGGAAACUGUACGGGUGGGUUAGCUUAAAAAGUAUUAUCUGAAAAACUGUGAGGUAGGACCAUGGAGCAGCAAGAUGGAACUAUCACAAGAGCGCAACUGAGGGGGUAGUUUCUCUUUAUAACUUGUCGUGCAUGUGUGCAGACCAAUAGUCCGGGUUCAUGGGGGCAGACCCCACCGGGUUGUCGUACACGUAUGCGUUAUCUAGUUACAAGAAAGGGAAACAGACUCGACCCCUUAGUCUUGCCCUGUGGAUAGAACUUACAGAGAUAUUUGGCAUCAGGGUAAGGUGCUCUUCCAGUCGUAGCUAGAUGGUUGCCCCUGGGUCGGUGCAUUCCCGUUACCUCGAAGGGUCCUUCCCAGCUGGGGGAGAGUUGCGGAGCCCUUCUUGGUACGGUAUUUGUCGUGGGGCUAGGUCUCGACCUAGAGUUCCCAUCUGCCUUUGACACGGGAGCCCUCCUUCUAGCGCCAGGAGCCUCGUCUCUGGCUGUGGUCACUUUUGCAUGUACCUGUCUGUAGUUUGGACUCGUGGGGGGUCCGGUAGGGCCUCCGGAGGAAGGCGUGCUUCAGUUUCGUAGGCUGGGGAACGCAGAGUCCCACCGAGGUCCAUCUAGCUGUCUUCACCGGAGUAGGAGCCUCCUGCGAAGACAUCCUUCAGGUCUCCCUCGGGCGACUAAUACCCAAGGUCCCGCUUGGCUGUGGCCACCUCGCCAUUGUCCACUUUCUCCUUGCCAGGGCGGCGGCGAGGCAGGGAGCCGUCUUUGGAAGACUGCUCGCGCCGCUCGCUGACGCGUUUUGCAAGAUCAAUGAUCUCGCGACACUCCGUGGCGCUGUGGCGACCGUUCGGGUGCACAAGGCAUGAACCGCUGCCACCUCUCUGCGGCCGCGGGCAUUUGUUGCGGUCGCCCUGGCCCCCGGUCGCUGUUGCGACCACCAGAGCGAUGGACCGGGGCUUCUUGUAAUCGCGGUCCUUCUUCUUUUCUUCUUUCCAUCUUCGAGGACGGCCCCCGAGCCACCCGACUGGGCAGCUCUAGCUUGUGGGGCUGAGUGCCAUGCACGGCCCUCGGCAGCUCUGGCGCACUUGUCGGCCAGAGCGAAGAGCGUGGGGACAGUUUCCACGUCAUGUGUGGCCAACUUCUCCAACAUUUUUUCAUCACGUACUCCCUAUCGGAAGGUCGUGAUGAUAGAAGCAUCAGAAAUACGAGGUAUCAUACCUCGUACCUUGGUGAAGCGGGAGAUGAACUUCCGAAGGGUCUCCCUUGGCUCUUGCCUUACUGCAUGGAGGUGGGUCUCCACACCGUGCUGUUGGUAAGCACUAGCGAAGUUCGCAAUGAACCGCGCACAGAGUUCUUCCCAGUAGUAGACUAAUCCCAGGGUGAGGUUCAUGAGCUAGUUCCGGGCUGGUCUAGACAAGGCCACAUGAAAAUAUGUUGCCAUCAUAGCGGUGUUUCCACCUGCUGCCGUGAUGGCAGUAACGUACACCUGCAGGAACUCAGACAGGUUUGAUGUUCCGUCGUAUUUUUCUGGCAGGUGCAGCCGGAACUUGGGCGGCCAGGACGCCGCGCGGAGAUGGUCCGCAAGUGCGGCGCAGCCCACACCGGCCAGGGGGACACCCGUUUGGGAUCGGGUGCCCAUUGGUGUCUGCGGUGCAACCGCAGCGAAGUCUUGAUCGAGGUCGCGACCAUCGAUGUUUUGGCGGCGCUCGCGCGCCCUUUCCAAGGAUACCCGUGCGUCCUCUCCCGCACGCCUGCGGUUGAGCUCUGCCCGGAGGUCGUUGGUCUGUGCGCCCCUUACUGAGGGCGAGCGCACAGACGCUGACGCCUUGUGUUGGUGCCGAGAUGACCGCGUCUUCGACCUUGACGAGGUAGAAUGCGCCAUACUGAGCAGUCGGUCGACAACAUCCCUCCAUUGCUUCAUGGCUCCUGGUGAAGCCGUGGAGCUUGGAGGGUGUCACAACAACUCCCUGGCUGCUGGCAAUGCCCCCGGAGACGCCCUUGAUGGAGUCCGGACGUUUGCGCUACCGUGUGCUGCCAUGCGGCGUGCACAGCAGGAGUGAUUGGUGCUGGGCGACUGGGAACUUGCGGCGCGGAGGAAGCAGCUUCUCCCUCCAGCACAAAGUCAACCGAAGCCUCGGCGCGGUGCUCAAUGAUCUGCACCAUCAUGCUUGGGUAAGGGAUCAAACAAGAACCUAAUGCCUAGCCCCUACCUGGCGCGCCAAAUGUUGGAGAGUAGAUCUCCGGCCGGGUGGCGGAUUGCACCCGCCCUAAAUCCUGAGAUGAGGAUGGGCUUAGGUGUUUUGCUUGAUCCUUGGAAUGAACGGGAAGAAUGCAAGAACACACAAGGGUUUAGAGUGGUUCGGGCCGCCGAGGCGUAACACCCUACUCCACUGUGGGAUGUAUUGCUUGUGAGCUUGCAAGUCUGAGGUGUGGUCUAAGAUUGCGUGUGUCCAUAACGUCGCAUGCCUCACCUUUUAUAGCUGAAGGGGGGCAUGCACAAGAGGACUAGGCCCCGACAUGUGGGCCUAGGGAUGUAAAGAAUAUGGUGCUUGGAGCCUACUAAUGUCUGUUGCCGAGACAAUCUUCUUGUGCCCUGGCGCCCGAGAUCUGCGUAUCCUUGGCAUGCCGGGGAAGCUUCUUGUGGAAGAGAAGAUGGGUGCAGUGCCCCGCUCAAAACCGGCGCACUGUCCGCCAACAGACUGGUCAGGCGCGCCGUCUGCCCGACGACCCUGACGACGUCUGCCAAUGGAUUGGACAAGGCGCAUUUAAUGUCGAGAGGGCUUGUCGCCUGUCAGCGUGGUGGCAGAUGGCGCGUCCCUUCCAUAAUAAAUGCUGAGGUCGAACGGCUGCAUGGGCCUUACGUCAGGUUCGGCCCAUCGGCUUAUGUCACGGGCUUCAGGCCAAACGGCAGCAGCGGGGCUCCACCUGGGCAGGAAGCCCCUACUUGAGAGGUGGACACGUGUGGGCACCAGACCCUUAUUCGAGCCAGGGUCUUCCAGGUCUCGGAGCCCGGCCAUGGCCCGGUCCCUGCUCUGAGGGACCUGGGGCUUACCCGAGGGACCCGGCAUGCCCUCCUAGGAGUUCCGGACCCGCUAGUAUAGGGGUCCGGCGUCCUUCCGUGGAGGUCCGGACCUAUCGAUGCACCUUGGGGAGCCUUAUCUCUCCUUGCCACGUGGCGCCCUCGGGCCUGCCCAUGCGGUGGGGUCAGGCGCCGUUCCCCGCGUGGCAAGGAGACGUCGCAUGGGUGCGGCGUCUUCAUGCUGUAGAAGAGGGUACCCUUGAUUUAUGGUACCGACACUAAUUUAUUUGAAUAGAGAAACAUUCUAUGAACAUUUUGCAAUUUGAAUCACUCAAUUUAUAGUUCAUAUGAAAAAGAUAUGAAAUAAACAAGUUUUGAAAUUUAAAAUACAAAACUAGGUCUAAUUCUGUAAUUAAACAGAAACCUAGGGUUCAGUCUGCAAGGUCGUAGGGGCUUAAGCGCAAAACUAAGGGAUGACGGGUUCUAUAACCCGAGAACUGGGGGUCCUUUUUACAAAAAACAGAAAACCGAAUGGGUAUCGGGCCUUCCCAACCGUCAGAUCUCAGAUAGACGGCCAGGAUUAGAACUGGCGGGGUGAGCGCGCGGGCGCGUGGACACGGAUGCCUGGCAUGCGGGGUCCACGAGCCAGGGACUCGGGCGAGCGGACGGCUGGGCGCUAGGGCACCAACGUCUGAUGGGUGGGGCCACAGUAAGAUCAGGUCUGCUAGUCAGCGAUGCGGGGCAGGCGCAGACACGACGGCGAGUACACACACGCGGGCGAGGCCCACCACGCGGCGACACAGAACGGAGGGGAGGAAGGGGUAGGCGCUAUGCUGACACGUGGGACCCAGGGUCCACCGGUUAACGACCACACAAGGGGAACGAGGAAGCGGAAAGGGGUGAGGCUGACGGGCGGGUCCUCCUUGUCACGACCGUCGUCUUCUCGGUCGCGCGCACAGCGUGAGCUCCAUGGCUGGAGCCGGUGACUCUGUGCGGGUGAAGAAGUCAUGGGGCAGUUGCGGUUGGCCGAGGGGUCUCGGUACGACGGUGCAGUACCGAUACCAGUGAUCAUCGGCGACUAAUUGAUGGAACAGAGAAAACGAGGGAGAGAGAAAAAGAGGUCCGGUGGGGAAAUUCACCUUGGGUGGGGCGAGAACGACGACGAGGCUGUGCCUGAUGAUGGUGGAGCGCGGUCGGGGACGGUGGCUGAGCUCUGCUGGGGGCGGAUUCAGGCGUUGGAGACCUAGCGACGGGGAAGCUCCGGCGAGCUUGAAGAACGGCCGCGCGCAGCUCGGGUGAGUGUGCAGGGGCGAAAUGAGUGAGGCAGGGGGAAGUGAGGGUGUGCGGGGACUUGAGGAGGGUGUCGAGGUGUUGGUUUGGCACCGAGAGGCGACGUGGGCGCGGCGAUCUCGGUGUGCGCGCACGCGGGCGAGCGGUUGAAGGAGGGGAGAGAGACUGGCAAGCGGGGCCCGUAGAACAGCGACACGGACGCACGAGCGCGCAACGGGCCAGGGCGUUGACAAGGUAGGCCCACAUGGCGGCAGAGAGAGGGAGGGAGAGGGCGUGCGGGCGCGAGAUCCACCGCUGAUAGGUGGGCUCCACCGGUCAUACUGAGCGGGCGCACACGCGGAGCUAGGCCGGCUUGGACUAGCUGGGUUGAAUUGGGAUUUUCUAUUUCCUGAAAUUUCUAAUUGCUUUUCUAUUUGAUUUUUCUCUAGGGUUUUCAAUGCAAAUUCAAACCAAGUUUCAAAUUCAAACUAAUUCAACCAUGUGCAACAAUUCAAAGAAUAUUUGAGCUCAGCAUGAUGCAACAUUUCAUGUCUCAUAUUGUUUUAACAAAAUAAAUAAUUAAUCUCUCACUAAUUAAGCUACAUCUACUCAAAAUAAAAGAGAGAGAGAGACUAGAGAGAUACAAGAGUAACACUUGAAUUUGGUAGAUAGUUAGAAAGAAAUUUAUACCCCCAAAUUCAGGGUGUUACAGACCUAUCCCCCUUAAAAAGAAUCUCGCCCUCGAGAUUCAGGGUUGGCUAGCAAAGAGUUCAGGGUACUUGGCUUUGAGAUCAUCUUCUCUUUCCUAGGUUGCUUCUUCUGAGUGAUGACCCCAUUUGACUUUGCACAUCCUGAUGGUGCUUCUCCGAGUGACCCGAUUUGUUGUCUCUAGAAUCUAAGUUGACUUCUCAAUAUAUGUCUGAUCUUCUUGAAUUUCAAGGUCCUCUGUUGGCAACUGCUCUUCUGGUACUCACAAGCAUUUAUUCAGCUGAGACACAUGAAACACGUCAUGCACAGCUGACGGACUCUCUGGUAAGCUGAGUUGAUAUGCCACUUCUCCACAUCUUGCUUGAAUCUGGUACGGUCCGAUGUAUCAAGGUGCUAGCUUGCCUUUGACUCCGAACCUUUUGAUUCCUCUAAUGGGUGACACUUUGAAUUAAAAAUAAUCUCCCACUUCAGAUUCUCUUCUUCGGGUGUCAGCAUAGCUUCGCUGUUUGGACUGCGCUGUCUUCAGAUUCUCUCGAAUCAUUCUGAUGUUCUCUUCGGCCUCAAGUAGAAUAUCUGGACCGAACACCAGCUUUUCGCCGGGUUGGUCCCAAUGCAACGGAGUUAUGCAAUUCUUCCUAUAGAGUGCUUGGAACGGUGACAUCUUCAGACUGGCUUGGUAGCUAUUGUUGUAGGAGAAUUCUGCAUACGGUAGCCUCUUGUCCCAACCUAACUUGUCUUGCAAAGCACAAGCUCUCAAUAUAUCUUCAAGAAUCUGGUUGGUUCUCUCAGUCUGACCAUCUGUCUGCGGGUGAUAAGCUAAACUGAACUUCAAGUGUGUGCCCAAAGCUUCAUGUAUUUGCUGCCAAAAAUGAGAAGUGAACUGGGUGCCUCUGUCUAAUACUAUCUUCUUUGGAACACCAUGCAAGCACACAAUCCGAGACAUAUAGCUCUGCCAACACUGCACUAUUAUAGGUGGUCUUGACUGGUAUGAAAUGGGUCGCCUUUGUCAAAUGUUCCACUACUACCUAGAUGGAGUCAUAACCAGCACGAGUGUAGGGCAGACCAACUAUAAAGUCCAUCCCAAUCUCAUCCCAUUUCCACUGAGGAAUCUGCAAUGGCUGCAACAAACCUACGGGCCUUUGAUGUUCUGCCUUGAUCCUCUGACAACUGUAGCAUACAGCCAAAUAUUCUGCUAUCUCCCUUUUCAUUCCAUACCACCAGAAUCUUUUCUUUAGGUCUUGGUACAUCUUCUCGCUACUAGGGUGUAUAAAGUAUGAUGUUUCAUGAGCUUCCUUGAGAACCAGUUCCCGGAUCGAUUUGAUGUCGGGAACACACAGUCUAUCCUUGAACCAUACCACUCCUUCUGCGUCUUCACGGAAAUCCUUGCCUUUUCCAUCUAUGAUCAGCUGUUGGAUCUCGUCGAUCUUCUCAUCAUCUUUUUGGCCCUUCCCAAUAUCUUGCUCUAGAGUGGGUUCCAGCUCAAUUGUCACUCCUUGAGUGUUGUUCAGAAAUCCGAGACUCAAUCUAUCGAAUUCCUUUGCUAGCUCAUAUUGCAUGGGGUGAGCUUUGCCUGGGUGAUAAUGUAUCUCUAGUUCAUAAUCCUUGAUCAACUCUAGCCAUCUUCGCUGCCUCAUGUUUAGCUCUGAUUGGGUGAAUAUGUACUUGAGACUCUUGUGGUCCGUGUAGAUAUCACAUUUCUGCCCAUACAAAUAGUGCCUCCAGGUCUUCAGUGCAUGAACCACUGCUGCUAAUUCCAGAUCAUGAGUAGGGUAAUUCUUCUCAUGAAUCUUCAGCUGGCGGGACGAGUAUGCCACUACUUUCCCUUCCUGCAUUAACACACAUCUCAGUCCGGUGUAUGAAGCAUCACAGUAUACUGAGAAUGGCUUGUGAACAUCUAGUAGAAUCAAUAAUGGGGUUGUUCUUAACUUCUUCUUCAAUGUCUCGAAUGACUCUUGGCACGCCGGGGUCCACUUGAACUCAACUUUCAUUGCCAACAAGGCGGUCACUGGCCUGGCAAUUUUAGAGAAACCUUCGAUGAAACGCCGAUAGUAACUGGCCAUUCCAGUGAAACUCUUGAUUCCUCGGACAUCUUUCGGUGCUUUCCAGUCCAGAAUAGCUGCUACCUUCUUCGGAUCCACAUCCAAUCCCUCUCGGUUUAUAAUGUGACCCAAGAACAGAACUUCGCUGAUCCAGAACUCGCACUUGCUAAGCUUGGCAUACAACUGGCAAUCUCGUAGCCUCUGGUGUACUUUCCUCAAGUGCUCUUCAUGCUCCUGCUCAUUCUGGGAAUAUACAAGGAAAUCAUCAAUGAACACCACUACAACCUUGUCGAGGUAGUCCAUGAACACACUGUUCUUCAAGUUCAUGAAAUAAGCUGGCACAUUCGUUAGACCGAAUGACAUGACCGUGAACUCAUAUAGUCCAUACUUGGUGAUAAAUGCUAUCUUCGGUAUAUCGGAAGGUCGGAUUCUGAGCUGAUGGUAACCUGACCUCAGAUCUAUCUUUGAGAACACACCGGCUCCUCUCAAUUGAUCGAAUAGGUCUUCAAUUCUGGGCAGGGGGUACUUGUUCCUGACAGUGACUUCAUUCAAGGAUCUGUAUUCAAUGCACAUCCUUUUCGUUCCAUCUUUCUUCUCCACAAAUAACAUUGGGGCUGCCCAAGGUGAGGUACUUGGUCUGAUGUAGCUUUUCUCUAACAACUCAUCAAUCUGCUUCUUGAGUUCCACCAAUUCUGGUCCGGACACUCGAUAGGCUCUCUUGGAAAUAGGGGUGAUGCCAGGUAUAAGCUCUAUGGCAAAUUCAACUUUCCUUUCAGGGGGCAUACCUGGUAACUCCUCGGGAAACACAUCUGGGAAUUCUGAUACUACAUUGAUAGCUUUUGAUGGUUCGAUUCCCUCAAUAUGGGCAGUGACUUGGUGAUGGCUUCCUUUCCUUGGUCUAGACAAGACCAACUCCACUAAAACUUCCUCUCCUGAUAAGGACACUAACUUCACUGUUCCGUUGUCACAGCUAAGACUAACUUGAUACUUGGUUAGCCAAUUCAUCCCUAGGAUGACAUCUAUAGUAGCAUCCUGGUUACCCAUAACUAUUAGAUCAGCAGGGAACUCUAUCCCCCCUAUUUGAACUCUUGCACUAGGGCAAAAUUUAUCAGUUUGGGUUCUCCCACCAAUUGAACUAACCUCAUAGGUGGAUACAUGGGUGCUACUGGUAUAUUGUGUGAUUCUACCCAUGAUACAGUCACAAAAGAAUGUGUUGCUCCAAUAUGAAAUAACACAUUUGCAGAAUGGUACUCGACUAAGAACGUACCUAGUGCCACUCCUGGGGUCUCCUGGACUGUGUCGGCCUCCAGGUGGUUCACCUUUCCAUACUGGGCACGAGGCUGCCCAUGGUUGUUGCCUCCUUGUUGCAAUGCAUUCUGCCUAGCAGGGGCAUUGGGAGCUGGUUGCUACUGAGCUGCUUUCUUUGGGCAAUGAUUCGCCCAAUGGCCUUGUUCCCCACAGUGGAAACAUGCACAGCCUCCUCCUUGCACUGGAGCUACUUGGUUGUUCUGGUUGGUUGCUGGGGCAGGAAGGCGACAGCCUGGUUGCUCUGACGCUGAUACUGAUUUCCUCCAUGCUGGUUGUUCUGACGGUACUGCUGUUGCUGAGUAAACCGCCUCUGGUACUGCUGCUGCUGGUUUUCGCACUGAUGCUGGUGCUAGUGACCUUGCUUGAAUUGUUGAGGUGGGUUGCUUGAGUAGCGGGGACAGUUGCUACUCCCAGCCUGAGAUCCACCAAUCUUGUGUUUCCUGUCUUCCAUCUCCUGGCGCUUCCUUUCAGUCAUAAUGGCUCUAUCGAUCAAAUGUUGGAAGGUAGGGAAGGUGUUUCAUCAGCUGGUAGUGAAGGGGGUCAACCGAACCUCUCAGGAAAUGGUACUCCCUCUUAGCAUCCAUGUUAACAUCUUCUGGCGCAUAACAUGACAGCUGCAGAAAUUUGUCCCUGUACUUACUAACAGACAGGGGACCUUGCUUCAACGCUAGGAAUUCCUCCUUCCUUACUAUCACCACUCCCUCGGGCACAUGGUAGCGAUGGAAGUUGUCCCUGAACUCCUUCCAGGUGAUGGCUUUAGGGUCGACAUGGGUGGCGAGGUAAGACUCCCACCAAGACUGUGCAGCUCCUCUUAGCUGUCGGGGACCAUACAACACAUUCUCAUGAACGUUGCACUGAGCAAUGUGCAACUCACGUUCCACGGUACGCAGCCAAUCUGCGGCGUCCAUGGGAUCAACAGAAUGGGCAAAGACAGGGGGAUGGCCCCUCAUAAACUCUGCCCGACUUUAUGGUCGGCAUGGGUGGCGAGGUAAGACUCCCACCAAGACUGUGCAGCUCCUCUUAGCUGUCGAGGACCAUACAACACAUUCUCACGAUCGUUGCACUGAGCAGUGUGCAACUCACGUUCCACGGUACGUAGCCAAUCUUCGGCGUCCAUGGGAUCAGCAGAAUGGGCAAAGACAGGGGAUGGUCCCUCAUAAACUCUAUCUGCUUGUUUCUGGGCACUUGUGGCAUUUGGACUUGCACCUGAGGUUAAGGUGGGGGUGGCUGCUGCUGCACCUGCUACAUUGCUGCUAAGGUCUGACCAAUCGCUUGGACUGCAUGAGUUUGCAUCAGGAACAUCUGUUCAAUAGUCAUCGGGGGUGGCGGUGGCAACUGCUGCUGAGCUGCCUCCUCUUAGGGUGCCUGCUGCUCCUGCUGAGCACGCCUUCCACCUCUGCGCCUGUUCUCAGACAUCUGUAGAAAGCACACACAAAUAAGAUCCACUUCUGCAGUCUUUCAACAUAAGAAAAGAUAUAUGUAAAUCUUUAUAGCACUUAACAAUUGGUCAUCUUCACUAAAUCCCAACAUAGCUUCUCAAAUAAAGAGGAAAGUGCAAAUAGAUGGGUUGCCCAACUAAAUAACCGACUUUAUUAAUAACUACACCAAGUUGCAGGGGAUGCCCACACCUUGGUAACAAUCAUUACAAAGAUCCAACUUCAUUACAAGUUCAUCACGACAAGCAUCAAGGCAUAUGACAAGCAAACUAACUCUAACUAAGACUAACUGAGACUAAGACACUGAAUUAAGCAUUAUUACAGACUCCGACUCUGUCGAUCUAUGGAUCCAAAUCUAUCUGGGUCCUACAGUCAGGGGUACCAUAAUCGAAGCGACCACGGGGCGACGAACGGUAAGGGUGCUGAAUCCCGACAGGGGCGGGAGAACCACCAUCCAAAUAGUGGCGUGUUGCACACUCAGCACGCAAUAACGCAACCUCCGCCCGAACCUUGCCCAACUUGUCAAGGGCGUGGUCUAGCUCGGUGUUGAGCAUGACGACCAAGUUGACCAAACUGUUCAGCCUCGGAUUGCCCUCUCCAACGGGUGAGAGAAUCACACUUACAACACUGCCGAUCGCACGACGAGGGUAGUACUUCAGGUCCAGGCCAUCAACUACCCCGCUGAACAAUGAGCAAUACUGAGAAAGUGCACGUUGUGCUACAUCUUGCAUGGUGGCCUCGGCAGUAUCCCUCUCAGUGAUAGAAUAGUCUCUGAGAAGGCCUCUGCACCCCAGAGAUCAUUGUCCGGAUGGUGCACCAAGCAAGUAGCCUCCCACUGGUCCGAGUAUAACCCACGACGAUGCUGAUAGACUACACAACGGUACUCGAUGGACCAAAUGUGUCGAUCAAGGGCCCGACGCAACAAGGUGUCGAGAGCGUCAUGGAAGUGACACAUGCGAGCGGCGUCGUGAGUGAUGUGUCUAGCGAUCCAUCCCUCUGGCUCCUGCUCCUCCGAGAGCUCCGUGCUGUGGCUUGAACUACCACCGACAUCGUCGUCGUCUCCGUCUCUAUCAAGGUCUCCUCCAGCAGCCGGAUGCCUUGUGGUGGUGCAGGGGGCAUCUCUGGCUGAGGUGCAGGGGAAGGCUGCCACCCAGACUCCACCUCCUGCUGAGGCGAGGGGGAAGAGUCUUGCUGCUCCUGCUCCUGGCGUCGAUGAUCCUGCUGCUCAUGCAGGCGGCAAUGCAGUCUCUCCAGGUGGCUAGACUGACCUGUCACCGUGCGGCGCAGAGGGCGCUCUACCAGGCGAGAUGGAAAAAAGGUGAUCACUGACUUAUGUGCAGUGCAUCUAAUACGAGCCAUCUACAAAAGACAUUGUAAGCAUAAGAGUGAGAGUAGAACUAUAUGACCAGCAAGUAAACAGAAAGAAAAGUGAGACAAAAUUUGUUAAGAUGAGUAAUAACAUAGAAUUGGUCAAGAUGACCAAUUUUUUUGAAAUGGCACAAAAGGUCAAGGUUAGGGUAGAGGUCUAUAGUCCUUAGGGCGACCAUUCUAGUCUAGGUUUGCGGUCCUAUAGUCAGCAAGGCUUUGAUACCACUUAUGUCACACCCGGUUUUAGAAGGCAAACCGAAUGCGAACCAUGUACGUGCCAGGAUCAGAAACUCACGUACACAACGAUUACAUAAUUGGACAUCAUCACACAAUGCUCAAAGUAAAUAGAGGAAAGGUACUUUUAUUACAAUAAGAUGUCUAAGACAUGCACGAAGUCUAUUACAUAGCAUAGUCAUUAAUAUCAUCAAAGUGCGGAAAUACGAAACGUAGUAGAUAAGGCCUUCACAGACAGCUGACUGGGGGUUUGCCACUUGUCACACCUGGAUUUUGGGGCACCAAGACCCGGGCACGAACACAAUCACCAAGUGUGCUAGGACCAAGUCUUACACAUAUGAUGACUCAGUACAGAAACGAAUGUCACAUCUUUACUAUAUAAUAGGAGUUCUGUACAAAAUAAAUAAAUAAUUACAUUAUAUGAAAACAACGAUCCAGCAACCCAAAGUUGACUGGGAGACGACAGACUAGACCACUCACGAACUCAUCACAACAUCCUCCAUGCGCCUCAUCCUGCGGUACCUGUUCUUGACCUGUGGGGGGUGUGAGACUGCAAGGGUGAGCUCACAUACGUUCAUCGCUCAACAAGUUGUGGAUAAUAAUGUGCAUGAACUCGCCAAAGGUGAGAGUUCAUGUGAAGUGUAAGCCUUACCAAAGAGGAUGGUUAAAGCUGAGCAUUGCUUUUAAAGAUGGUCAAAAUUUUAUUAGCAGUUGCUAAGUGUAAGUAGAUACCAAACCAGAGUAUUAAUAGAUCAAAAUUGAUAACAGCACCCGCGAUGCAAUGCAUAUGGCAAAUUGAAUUUAAUUCCAUAAAUUAAUCAUGCGAGAGUCCUGAGCUGCUCAUGACCGCGAGCACGGCUAGUAUACCAGUUUUACACUCUGUAGAGGUUGUACCUUGUACUCACAAAUCGUGUAUCCCAUGUCGCCAGGGUUUGCAAGGCCCUUAAGGUGAAUGGCUAUGGAUCCACUACGAGGCCUUUACAAAGUUCCACUAGCUUCCGAAAACCCGCUAUAGUUUCUAGGAAGAGCAAUGUAGGAAUCCCUCGUCUGACCGCCAUCGCAGUAAAAUCAACCCGAGAACCUCCCUACACUCCUACUCCCCUACUGCCCUUGCCCCUUUCGGAUAAUGUAGUCUUCCACUAGCUUUCCUAGUUAGUCAGCCAAGGGCGUUCCAUACCACCCUUGUGGUGGCACGUGUUUCUUAAGUUAAGCUCGAUGUUCCAUUUAAUAUAAUGAUCUUGUCAUGAACAAUAAAUAAAACAACAGUAUAAUUGGAACAUAAUCAUAAUGUAAUAUUAAUCCCAAAACCAUAUAGAGCAAUAGCAAAAACUACCCAAAUAGUUUAGGGGUAAACAAGGUGAAAGGAUAACCAGACUAGGGUGACCUAUUGGGUCCCAUCAAAAUUAAGCCUAUGCAUGAUAAAAUAAUUAUAAAGAACAUUAUUGGGCAAAUAAAAGUGAUCAAGGGCACAACUUACCUGGGACUUGAGAUUCCAGGUACCAACUUGCUC
rnacentral:lncRNA from 1 species